CCCUCGCCCGACAAAUCGCCAUCGAAGCUCACAAACAGAGACGCCUGCUUGCAGACGUCUCGACCUUUCGGGGUCAACCACGAGCUUUGGGAGAAAGUCCCCGGACACACGUUAUUCUUCCCUCUCGGGUGGAGAACAGAAACGCCGCGGAAACGCGCCGCCAUAGAAGCACAGCGGCUGACCUCCAAGACCUGCGCCCGGACAUAAUGCCUUCCCUCUCUGCCCUGUCCCGUCGCUACAUCGCGGUAGCUGCCCUUCCCUGACCCUCGUCGAGCCCCGAAUCUUUCAGAGGCCCGGGACCACAUGGAUGAAGAUAUGAGUCCGCGCCCGGGAUGAGAAGCCCGGUGUUUGCUCGGCCUGGCGCCACGGACGGGGAGCUUCUUCGAUGACGGGGAAGCCGCAUAGGGAUCGUCGCUUGCCGGGCGAAUUCAAGGGUCGGUCGGAGGAGUCUUUUGUCGAGAUCGACAGGUAUGCGAUUGCCCAUCCUCUCGAGGAUGGGUUACUCGAUGGGGCUUAUUCUUGGUGCGAGG
rnacentral:RNase_MRP_RNA from 1 species